rnacentral:rRNA from 1 species
AGAGUUUGAUCAUGGCUCAGGAUGAACGCUAGCGGCAGGCUUAAUACAUGCAAGUCGUGGGGCAGCAUGAGUGUAGCAAUACAUUUGAUGGCGACCGGCAAACGGGUGCGGAACACGUACACAACCUUCCUUUAAGUGGGGAAUAGCCCAGGGAAACUUGGAUUAAUACCACGUAAUAUUAUGAAGUGGCAUCACUUUAUAAUUAUAGCUCCGGCGCUUGAAGAUGGGUGUGCGGCUGAUUAGGUAGUUGGCGGGGUAACGGCCCACCAAGCCUACGAUCAGUAACUGGUGUGAGAGCACGACCAGUCACACGGGCACUGAGACACGGGCCCGACUCCUACGGGAGGCAGCAGUAAGGAAUAUUGGGCAAUGGACGCAAGUCUGACCCAGCCAUGCCGCGUGGAGGAUGAAGGUCCUCUGGAUUGUAAACUUCUUUUCUCUGGGGCGAAAAAGGGAUAUUCUUAUCCCCCUGACAGUACCAGAGGAAUAAGCACCGGCUAACUCCGUGCCAGCAGCCGCGGUAAUACGGAGGGUGCAAGCGUUAUCCGGAUUCACUGGGUUUAAAGGGUGCGUAGGCGGGCAGGUAAGUCAGUGGUGAAAUCCCCGAGCUUAACUUGGGAACUGCCGUUGAUACUAUCUGUCUUGAAUGCCGUGGAGGUAAGCGGAAUAUGUCAUGUAGCGGUGAAAUGCUUAGAUAUGACAUAGAACACCAAUUGCGAAGGCAGCUUGCUACACGGCGAUUGACGCUGAUGCACGAAAGCGUGGGGAUCAAACAGGAUUAGAUACCCUGGUAGUCCACGCCCUAAACGAUGGAUACUCGACAUACGCGAUACACUGUGUGUGUCUGAGCGAAAGCAUUAAGUAUCCCACCUGGGAAGUACGACCGCAAGGUUGAAACUCAAAGGAAUUGACGG